rnacentral:rRNA from 1 species
GCAGGCUUAACACAUGCAAGUCGAGGGGCAUCAGGACGUAAGCUUGCUUUCUUUGCUGGCGACCGGCGCACGGGUGAGUAACACGUAUCCAACCUGCCCUUUACUCGGGGAUAGCCUUUCGGAAGAAAGAUUAAUACCCGAUGGCAUAAUGAUUCCGCAUGGUUUCAUUAUUAAAGGAUUCCGGUAAAGGAUGGGGAUGCGUUCCAUUAGGUUGUUGGUGAGGUAACGGCUCACCAAGCCUUCGAUGGAUAGGGGUUCUGAGAGGAAGGUCCCCCACAUUGGAACUGAGACACGGUCCAAACUCCUACGGGAGGCAGCAGUGAGGAAUAUUGGUCAAUGGGCGCUAGCCUGAACCAGCCAAGUAGCGUGAAGGAUGAAGGCUCUAUGGGUCGUAAACUUCUUUUAUAUAAGAAUAAAGUGCAGUAUGUAUACUGUUUUGUAUGUAUUAUAUGAAUAAGGAUCGGCUAACUCCGUGCCAGCAGCCGCGGUAAUACGGAGGAUCCGAGCGUUAUCCGGAUUUAUUGGGUUUAAAGGGAGCGUAGGUGGACUGGUAAGUCAGUUGUGAAAGUUUGCGGCUCAACCGUAAAAUUGCAGUUGAUACUGUCAGUCUUGAGUACAGUAGAGGUGGGCGGAAUUCGUGGUGUAGCGGUGAAAUGCUUAGAUAUCACGAAGAACUCCGAUUGCGAAGGCAGCUCACUGGACUGCAACUGACACUGAUGCUCGAAAGUGUGGGUAUCAAACAGGAUUAGAUACCCUGGUAGUCCACACAGUAAACGAUGAAUACUCGCUGUUUGCGAUAUACAGUAAGCGGCCAAGCGAAAGCAUUAAGUAUUCCACCUGGGGAGUACGCCGGCAACGGUGAAACUCAAAGGAAUUGACGGGGGCCCGCACAAGCGGAGGAACAUGUGGUCUAAUUCGAUGAUACGCGAGGAACCUUACCCGGGCUUAAAUUGCAGUGGAAUGAUGUGGAAACAUGUCAGUGAGCAAUCACCGCUGUGAAGGUGCUGCAUGGUUGUCGUCAGCUCGUGCCGUGGGGUGUCGGCUUAAGUGCCAUAACGAGCGCAACCCUUAUCUUCAGUUACUAACAGGUCAUGCUGAGGACUCUGGAGAGACUGCCGUCGUAAGAUGUGAGGAAGGUGGGGAUGACGUCAAAUCAGCACGGCCCUUACGUCCGGGGCUACACACGUGUUACAAUGGGGGGUACAGAAGGCAGCUAGCGGGUGACCGUAUGCUAAUCCCAAAAUCCUCUCUCAGUUCGGAUCGAAGUCUGCAACCCGACUUCGUGAAGCUGGAUUCGCUAGUAAUCGCGCAUCAGCCACGGCGCGGUGAAUACGUUCCCGGGCCUUGUACACACCGCCCGUCAAGCCAUGGGAGCCGGGGGUACCUGAAGUACGUAACAGCAAGGAUCGUCCUAGGGUAAAACUGGUGA